UUUCUUUUUUUUUCAACCAACUCCUGCCACUGGUGGUGACUUCAACCGUCACUUUUCUGUCAUGCAUCUGACUGCAAGCUGUACAAACUCUGCCGUCAUCAUAUCCAAGGCAGUGCGUUGUGAAGACUGCUUCCCUGAGAACACUGAGUGCAUUCUGGAAUAUUCCAAAUGUGUGCCACUUCCAUACAAAAGAAGUUCCAAUCCCGCAAGACAGUUCACUCACCAGUGGGCUUCAUCAACAGACCAGGGCAAAGUCAGUCUUUCCCGCUACUACAACAUGCUACUUGACUAUGUCUGGAAGCCAUGGCUGCUGCCCUCAACAUGCUAAAAUGAAACCCUCACAAAUAAAGUCACAAAUCAAGAAUUAACAUUAAUGGUGAUGGUGGCAAGGGUGCCUUCAUAAGGUGCCAUCCAGCAAGUCCCAGCCUGGAGCCAGAGGCUGGCACAGCACUUCAGAUGGGGGAGGAUCUAUGUUAGGCAUCAGAAAGGUGGUUUAAGCAAGAAGGCAAGAGCUUCUGCAGACAGUGUUGCAAUUAGACACCUGACUUUUACUGAGUCCCUUUUCUGGUUUG